GAUGAACGCUGGCGGCGUGCCUAAUACAUGCAAGUCGAGCGAACGGACGAGAAGCUUGCUUCUCUGAUGUUAGCGGCGGACGGGUGAGUAACACGUGGAUAACCUACCUAUAAGACUGGGAUAACUUCGGGAAACCGGAGCUAAUACCGGAUAAUAUUUUGAACCGCAUGGUUCAAAAGUGAAAGACGGUCUUGCUGUCACUUAUAGAUGGAUCCGCGCUGCAUUAGCUAGUUGGUAAGGUAACGGCUUACCAAGGCAACGAUGCAUAGCCGACCUGAGAGGGUGAUCGGCCACACUGGAAGUGAGACACGGUCCAGACUCCUACGGGAGGCAGCAGUAGGGAAUCUUCAGCAAUGGGCGAAAGCCUGACGGAGCAACGCCGCGUGAGUGAUGAAGGUCUUCGGAUCGUAAAACUCUGUUAUUAGGGAAGAACAUAUGUGUAAGUAACUGUGCACAUCUUGACGGUACCUAAUCAGAAAGCCACGGCUAACUACGUG
rnacentral:rRNA from 1 species